rnacentral:rRNA from 1 species
CACGUAGGAGGCGAGCGUUGUCCGGAAUCAUUGGGCGUAAAGAGCGCGCAGGCGGCUCGGCAAGUCGGUUGUGAAAUCCCAGGGCUCAACCCUGGGACUGCAUCCGAUACUGUCGAGCUAGAGGUAGGUAGGGGAGAUCGGAAUUCCUGGUGUAGCGGUGAAAUGCGCAGAUAUCAGGAAGAACACCCGUGGCGAAGGCGGUUCUCUGGGACGGUACUGACGCUGAGACGCGAAAGCGUGGGGAGCGAACAGG